GGGAAUAUUGCGCAAUGGAGGAAACUCUGACGCAGUGACGCCGCGUAUAGGAAGAAGGUCUUCGGAUUGUAAACUAUUGUCGUUAGGGAAGAAAAAGGACAGUACCUAAGGAGGAAGCUCCGGCUAACUACGUGCCAGCAGCCGCGGUAAUACGUAGGGAGCAAGCGUUAUCCGGAUUUAUUGGGUGUAAAGGGUGCGUAGACGGGAAGGCAAGUUGGUUGUGAAAUCCCUCGGCUUAACUGAGGAACUGCAACCAAAACUAUCUUUCUUGAGUGCUGGAGAGGAAAGUGGAAUUCCUAGUGUAGCGGUGAAAUGCGUAGAUAUUAGGAGGAACACCAGUGGCGAAGGCGACUUUCUGGACAGUAACUGACGUUGAGGCACGAAAGUGUGGGGAGCAAACAGG
rnacentral:rRNA from 1 species